GCUGCUGGGAGAUUCCUGUGGGGAAACCCACCUCACUCUUUGGGGCUCCAUGGGUCGUUAGGGCUGCUCUGAGCCAGAGGAGAGUCUCAGCUCUCCUUGGGCCUCUUUUUCAAAGAUGGAUGGUGUCUCCUGUAGCAUAGACUGGCUUGGAGCGCACUCUUUAUGCAGUCCAAGGAUGACUGUCCUCCUCGUCACUGUGAUGUGGUGUCACUUUGGUGCUGUGACGAAACACCAUGACCAAGGCAACUUCUAGAAGAAAGCAUUUAUUUGGGGGCUUGCGUACAGUUUCAGAUGGCAUGCCUAUGUACUGUCUGCAUGCCUGGUGCCAAAGGAGGACAGAAGACGUCAGAUCUACUGGAACUGGA